AAGGUGUUAGUUAAUUUAUAUUAUAAUAAAUAGUUUGAAACUAUUAGUAAGUCUUAGGGGCUAUACUUUA
rnacentral:tRNA from 1 species